UGGGAUGACGUCAAGUCAGCAUGGCCUUUAUAUCCUGGGCUACACACACGCUACAAUGGGAAGGACAAUAGGUUGCGAAGCCGCGAGGCGGAGCCAAUCCAGCAAAACUUCCCUCAGUUCAGAUUGCAGGCUGCAACCCGCCUGCAUGAAGAUGGAGUUGCUAGUAACCGCAGGUCAGCUAUACUGCGGUGAAUACGUUCCCGGGGCUU
rnacentral:rRNA from 1 species